rnacentral:rRNA from 2 species
CGGUGGUGGAUUAGUGGCGAACGGGUGAGUAACACGUGGGCAAUCUGCCCUUCACUCUGGGACAAGCCCUGGAAACGGGGUCUAAUACCGGAUAAUACUCCUGCCUGCAUGGGUGGGGGUUGAAAGCUCCGGCGGUGAAGGAUGAGCCCGCGGCCUAUCAGCUUGUUGGUGGGGUAAUGGCCUACCAAGGCGACGACGGGUAGCCGGCCUGAGAGGGCGACCGGCCACACUGGGACUGAGACACGGCCCAGACUCCUACGGGAGGCAGCAGUGGGGAAUAUUGCACAAUGGGCGAAAGCCUGAUGCAGCGACGCCGCGUGAGGGAUGACGGCCUUCGGGUUGUAAACCUCUUUCAGCAGGGAAGAAGCGCAAGUGACGGUACCUGCAGAAGAAGCGCCGGCUAACUACGUGCCAGCAGCCGCGGUAAUACGUAGGGCGCAAGCGUUGUCCGGAAUUAUUGGGCGUAAAGAGCUCGUAGGCGGCUUGUCACGUCGGAUGUGAAAGCCCGGGGCUUAACCCCGGGUCUGCAUUC